GUCAUUCCUCUUGGCAGAAAAAUCAGAAACAAAUGAAUGAAGAAAUGAGUAGUUCUGCUCAAUGCCUCAGCAGACACAGGAUUUGGAAACAAGGGGCCAACCUUUAUGCCAAACUUCAGCAACUCCCUUCUCACAUUUCAAGAGUCACCAUGGGGCUGACUCUUUCUUCUGGUCAUCUGAAGAAAUUUAUGAAAACAGCAUGAGGGCCUGCUUUGUCCUGAUAAGAAGAGGCAUUUGCUGAAUGGGACCCUGGGGACCUGGAAGAGCUCAGUAAAGUUCGGAAAACAAAAACAAAUACAAAAAACCCGGAUACCAGGUGCAUGAAGAGAAACACCCAAAAGAAGAGAUUUCAACUGAAGGAUGUUGCUUCCAGUCUUACUCCAACCUCUUUAUUUUAUAAUUAAUCGCAGCUUCUGGGACCAGUUCGUCUCUUGGAGUCAGAAUGGGAUUCUUGCCUCAGCUUCUAAGUGGUCUAUGAGUGAGAACCCACAGAAUGUGAGCUCCCUGAGGGCAUGGACUACGUUGUACCUUUCUUUGCAUACCUAGUAUUUGGCAUAGUGUCAAGGCUCUUACUGCAUGCUUGUUGAUUUAAUGUCUGACUCACUACCAAUUAUAGCUUGUGGUCAUUCAUUCCACUUGGACUUUUCAUUGCUAAUCAAGAUAUUAGUUAAGAGCUCAGAACUUGGUUCAGUUCUCAUCUUGAGGAGACAAGGAAGAAAUGCCUAGAGUGACACUUUCCCCUGGCCUGGCAUUCAGGGAUGCCAUCCUAAGACUUCCUUGCAAAAUGGUGGAAUGAAGACUAUUUCAAGACUGUGGAAUUGGUUGGAGGCAACUCUCCUGAGUAUGGGGGUGGGAGUCGGGGGGAGGAUUCUGAAUGUGAGGGCAUGUAAGAGCCACACACUAUUCAAUUAGUGGCUAGACUCCAGAGGGGCAAUUAGAGUUUCUUUAAGAAAAAAAGAAAAGAAAAGUAACUUCAAGUCAAAAUAUUUGCCAGCUCAAAGUCAUCUAUCAUCAUGACAUCUGCUCAUACUCAGUCUGAAUUCACCCUCCUCGGUGAGCCUUGGACUAUGGCAGCAUGAAGGAGAAAUGUUCCCAUUCCUCUAAUCUACAAACAUUGAUUAUUUCUCUACAAAGCCAUGUUCUUGGGCAUUGGGGGAUAUGCUAAAUUUAGAUAAGGCAUGGACCUUCUCUUAGAGCUCAUAAUCUAUUGGGUAUAAUCAGAGAAUAUUUGUAAAGUUCCUCCCAAACCUUAAGGCAGUUAUGUAAAUAUCACCAGUGAUUGUUAAUAGGGGGACAAAACCCAGCAUCGCCAAUUAGCAAUGGGAUCAUGGAUCUUAGAGACUGUCUAGUCCAACCCCGUCAUUGUACAGAGUGGGAAACUGAGGUCCAGAAAGAAGU